CUGAAAACAGAGCCAUGAGGAGGUGCGGAAGUCUAGUUGUCUCUCAGAGCACUUGAAUUACAAUAUGCUGAAAGGUUAUUAUGGAAUUUUUGCCCAAUGAUGCCAAAAACGUUCUGCCGACUGAAGCUUUAAGAGGACAUCUUUAGCCCUCACAAAACUU